AUUGAACGCUGGCGGCAGGCCUAACACAUGCAAGUCGAACGGUAACAGGAAACAGCUUGCUGUUUCGCUGACGAGUGGCGGACGGGUGAGUAAUGUCUGGGAAACUGCCUGAUGGAGGGGGAUAACUACUGGAAACGGUAGCUAAUACCGCAUAACGUCGCAAGACCAAAGAGGGGGACCCUCGGGCCCCUUGCCAUCGGAUGUGCCCAGAUGGGAUUAGCUUGUUGGUGGGGUAACGGCUCACCAAGGCGACGAUCCCUAGCUGGUCUGAGAGGAUGACCAGCCACACUGGAACUGAGACACGGUCCAGACUCCUACGGGAGGCAGCAGUGGGGAAUAUUGCACAAAGGGCGCAAGCCUGAUGCAGCCAUGCCGCGUGUAUGAAGAAGGCCUUCGGGUUGUAAAGUACUUUCAGCGGGGAGGAAGGGAGUAAAGUUAAUACCUUUGCUCAUUGACGUUACCCGCAGAAGAAGCACCGGCUAACUCCGUG
rnacentral:rRNA from 1 species